GAUGAAGAACGCAGCGAAAUGCGAUAAGUAAUGUGAAUUGCAGAAUUCAGUGAAUCAUCGAAUCUUUGAACGCACAUUGCGCCCGCCAGUAUUCUGGCGGGCAUGCCUGUCCGAGCGUCAUUUCAACCCUCGAACCCCUCCGGGGGGUCGGCGUUGGGGAUCGGCCCUUUCACCGGGUGCCGGCCCCUAAAUACAGUGGCGGUCUCGCCGCAGCCUCUCAUGCGCAGUAGUUUGCACACUCGCACCGGGAGCGCGGCGCGUCCACGUCCGUAAAACACCCCAACUUCUGAAAUGUUGACCUCGGAUCAGGUAGGAAUACCCGCUGAACUUAAGCAUAUCAUAAGCGAGGA
rnacentral:misc_RNA from 1 species